AUUGAAUUCAUUCAGUAGCCAAGUUUAUUGUGUCAUAGUUGUACACCCAGUUCCAAAAUGUGGGAGAAGAAAUAAAUAUCGUUGUUUUACCAAGUCUCAGGCUCAACAAUCUAAAUACCAAGAAGAUUCCAAUCGAAAUUCCAAUAACGUUCUGUACAGUCUGUGCAGCAUGGGACCUUUUUAUCUGGAUACUUAAAGAACAACGCGUAUUAUUCAGAGAAUAUUAUUGUUUGAGACAAACAUUGCACAUAGCGCCCGGGCGGGGACAACUACAAGUUCGUUUCAGGGAAAAAGACCUUAAUGUUUUACAAACAUUCCAACUGCCUUCUAUGCGUUUGUAUAGAAUAUUUUCUAAGACAGACAAGUCAGCCACACUGCUUGGGUCGUUCUGGGAUUCGGGAUGUGCUCAAGCUCAAAUAAGCUUUUUUUUAUAUUUUCGGAAGGGAACAUGGUAAAUAUAUCGAAAGAAACGAUAA